rnacentral:rRNA from 1 species
GACGAACGCUGGCGGCGUGCUUAACACAUGCGAGUCGAACGGAAAGGCCCUGCUUUUGUGGGGUGCUCGAGUGGCGAACGGGUGAGUAACACGUGAGUAACCUGCCCUUGACUUUGGGAUAACUUCAGGAAACUGGGGCUAAUACCGGAUAGGAGCUCCUGCUGCAUGGUGGGGGUUGGAAAGUUUCGGCGGUUGGGGAUGGACUCGCGGCUUAUCAGCUUGUUGGUGGGGUAGUGGCUUACCAAGGCUUUGACGGGUAGCCGGCCUGAGAGGGUGACCGGCCACAUUGGGACUGAGAUACGGCCCAGACUCCUACGGGAGGCAGCAGUGGGGAAUAUUGCACAAUGGGCGGAAGCCUGAUGCAGCAACGCCGCGUGCGGGAGGACGGCCUUCGGGUUGUAAACCGCUUUCGCCUGUGACGAAGCGUGAGUGACGGUAAUGGGGAAAGAAGCACCGGCUAACUACGU